rnacentral:rRNA from 1 species
CCUACGGGAGGCAGCAGUGGGGAAUAUUGCGCAAUGGGCGAAAGCCUGACGCAGCGACGCCGCGUGAGGGAUGAAGGUCUUCGGAUCGUAAACCUCUGUUAGCAGGGAAGAACGGUCACUGUGCUAAUCAGCAGUGAAUUGACGGUACCUGCAAAGGAAGCACCGGCUAACUCCGUGCCAGCAGCCGCGGUAAUACGGAGGGUGCGAGCGUUAAUCGGAAUUACUGGGCGUAAAGCGCGCGUAGGCGGUAUGUCAAGUCAAGGGUGAAAUCCCCGCGCUCAACGUGGGAACUGCAUUUGAAACUGGCAGACUGGAGUGUGUGAGAGGAUGGUGGAAUUCGAGGUGUAGGAGUGAAAUCCGUAGAUAUCUGGAGGAACAUCGGUGGCGAAGGCGACUAUCUGGCACGUAACUGACGCUGAGGAGCGAAAGCGUGGGUAGCAAACAGGAUUAGAUACCCCAGUAGUC